rnacentral:rRNA from 1 species
UGAGCAAUCUGCCCUUCUCUUUGGAAUAAGCGUUGGAAACGACGUCUAAUGCCGAAUACGACCUCCUUUCGCAUGAUCGGAGGUGGAAAGCUCCGGCGGAGAAGGAUGAGCUCGCGGCCUAUCAGCUAGUUGGUGUGGGUAAUGGCCCACCAAGGCGACGACGGGUAGCUGGUCUGAGAGGAUGGCCAGCCACACUGGGACUGAGACACGGCCCAGACCUCGUAACGGGAGG